UGGUUAGUAGUUGGUUUGUUGAAUCAAAGGUCAUGGGUUUGAUUCCCAUCGACCCAA
rnacentral:tRNA from 1 species